CAGAGUAAAUGAUAAGCUUAAGAUGGUAAUCCACGGUCCUCGUCUUAGUUUGUUUAAAGGAUCCUUCACAAUAACAACAAUAAGAAGACCAUUUGUAAGGACACCAACUGUGGAGACCACCAUUGUUGUUAUUAAUAUAUCUUGAGGAAGUGAGAAACUUUUCUUCGGUUUCUUAUUAAAUACAUAAAUAUAUGUUUA